UAGGGAAUCUUCCGCAAUGGACGCAAGUCUGACGGAGCAACGCCGCGUGAGUGAAGAAGGAUUUCGGUUCGUAAAACUCUGUUGUUAGAGAAGAACAGCGCAUAGAGUAACUGUUAUGCGUGUGACGGUAUCUAACCAGAAAGCCACGGCUAACUACGUGCCAGCAGCCGCGGUAAUACGUAGGUGGCAAGCGUUGUCCGGAUUUAUUGGGCGUAAAGCGGGCGCAGGCGGUCAUUUAAGUCUGAUGUGAAAGCCCCCGGCUCAACCGGGGAGGGUCAUUGGAAACUGGUUGACUUGAGUGCAGAAGAGGAGAGUGGAAUUCCAUGUGUAGCGGUGAAAUGCGUAGAUAUAUGGAGGAACCCCAGUGGCGAAGGCGACUCUCUGGUCUGUACCUGACGCUGAGGCUCGAAAGCGUGGGUAGCAAACAGG
rnacentral:rRNA from 1 species